AGGGGGGUUUAGGUAAUCACAUGAAACAUAAUGCAGAUGUCUCGGCAUGAGAGGAGAUCAUGUCUACCACUUCUAGGGAAGAAAAGCUUUGUUACCAUUUGAUGUAGUAUCCUCAUCUCAAUGGAAAAGAUCUUGGCCUCUAGUUUGUUUAGGCUUCCCGAGAAGGUUCUUCCAAGAAUCACAUUAAUUCCUUCUUCCUUGACUGGGAGUUCCAUGUUUGAGUAUCCCUCAUAGGGCAAAUGAAGAAUUUCUCCUAGAAGCACAGGAUCUAGACAGAUUUCUAUAUCCUUAACAGUGGAUCUUACUGUUCUAUUGCCAUAGCUCAAGUUCAGAUAAAAUUCUCUAACCAAAUCCACAUAGGUAAUUUCUUUAAGUGAGCAGUAGAAUUUUCAACCUUGAUCUUUGAUUUUUUAACCGAUAGAGAACUCCUCUUUUUCAAAAAAUCUGAAAUCUAUGUUUUUCCCAGGUUCUACCUUUCUAUUAGAUAAGGGAAUCUUACUGGGGCUUAAUGGAGAUUGAGAAGAAGCUGGAGCAGAUGCCGGAGUAGGGAUUGAAGCUGAUAAGGUCUGGGUUGCCUGUCUCUUCCUGCACACGCCUUCUUCCAACUCGCGGAUCGAUUUUCUUCUUUGUGGGAGCUUCAUUUUCGGAGCCAUUUGCACUGAUGAGACUAUCACGGAGCUUGGGAGAGCAAAUGUGAGGGUGAGAUGAAGAGUUUCUAGUGGAAGGAUAGGAAUUUUUGGAGGAGUGAUACCCCGAUUUGGAAGAGAAGGGUAGAAUCUAGGGCACGCUCAAUCCGCUCCAAAUAAGGGUGGAGAAGGGGGAGAACUUGAUUCCUAAGG
rnacentral:lncRNA from 1 species